UACGUAGGGGGCAAGCGUUAUCCGGAUUUACUGGGUGUAAAGGGAGCGCAGGUGGCAAGGCAAGCCAGAAGUGAAAACCCGGGGCUUAACCCCGCGGAUUGCUUUUGGAACUGUCUGGCCGGAGUGCAGGAGGGGCAGGCGGAAUUCCUGGUGUAGCGGUGAAAUGCGUAGAUAUCAGGAGGAACACCGGUGGCGAAGGCGGCCUGCUGGACUGUAACUGACACUGAGGCUCGAAAGCGUGGGGAGCAAACAGG
rnacentral:rRNA from 1 species